UGUGGAAUACGAGGUGGGGACUUCAGGCUGUGACAUCUGCCACCCCAUUAACUCCCAGGGUUGAUUUGGCUGAUCUGGGAGGCUAGGUGAGUGUCCCCUUCCUCCCUCAGCACACCAUGUGUGUCCCUCCCAAAGCCAUGCAUUCAGGGAUGAGGAUGAUCUUCCGUGAAUGGAGGAGGACUUGGUCCCCCCGAUG
rnacentral:snRNA from 1 species